rnacentral:rRNA from 1 species
UACGGAGGGCGCGAGCGUUAAUCGGAAUUACUGGGCGUAAAGCGCGCGUAGGCUGUUGUGUAAGUUGGGGGUGGAAUCCCACGGCUCAACCGUGGAACAGCCCUUGAUACUGCGCGACUUGAAUCCGGGAGAGGGUGGCGGAAUUCCAGGUGUAGGAGUGAAAUCCGUAGGUAUCUGGAGGAACAUCAGUGGCGAAGGCGGCCACCUGGACCGGUAUUGACGCUGAGGCGCGAAAGCGUGGGGAGCAAACAGG